AGCGUGGCGAACGAGUGUUCCGGGGAGCACGUGUUCGCGCGGGCGGGGCUUGGGCACCCUGCCGGCUCGCGUCGCUGGGACGCCAAGGCUGGCGGGCGCGAGGUGGCGCGGUCCCGUGAGGGCGCUUCCGCCCGGAUGUCCCCGGGGCUGUCCCAUCGCGGUGCGAGCCCCUAGGGCUCGCCGUUGUUCCCAGCCUCCCUCUGUAACAGCAUCUCAAAGGGAAGCUAGAUCAUCUGAGAUACGAGAAAAGCUCGUUACAUAAGGGUCUCUCCGCGGGCGACACAGGGGACUGAGGUGACCACGGCGACCCUCUGCCCGAACAGGCCCAGCCCAGGCCGCACGGCAUGCUGAACACUGGAACCCCGCUCCCGUGCAGACCUCGCGAGGACCAAGUGUAAAAAUUCCCUCUCUGAAGGGCUUGCGACUUUCUUAUGGUUCCUAAAUGAAAAAUUCUUUUCCUGUUCUGCAGAGAGGUUCUCCAGUUGAUCGAUCGGAUGGAAGGGGCAGAUUCUUAAAUGGAGUCAUCGGCGUGAUGAUUUUCUGGGGAUCCAGUGCAUAGCAUCUUUCUCGGGAGGCUUUUUUGCCCCCUUCAAAAAUCAAGUCCUCCGAAUCCAGGACUGGAAACCUGGGCGUCUCACCUUCCAGGCCCUGGAGAGCUAAAGAAGUGACACCAAGUCACCAGGUGGAACCCACAGGCUGGCUGAGACUAAGGAGUGAAGCUUUGUCACGAGGCCAGGCACCAGGGCCACAGAACCGCUCAGAAGCCCUAGGCUGAGUGAUUCCUGCCACGGGCCUCAGAGCUAGGAGAGCAGAGAUCAAUGUCCAGGACUCCCCAGUCAGUGGGGAGCCCCUGUGAAUCUGUCUUGUGUAGGAACCCUGAAGGGCUACACCCCUAAGUAGGCCACGCCUAACACUGGGUCUGCUUUCCCCAAAGCUGGACCUUGAGACAAACCUGUAACUGAAUAGUUUAGAAAAUGAUAUGUGGGGAGCAGGGCAGGCUGGCACGUACUAUCAUCCCAGCGCCCAGGAGGCUGUGGCAAGAGGACUGCUGCACGUUCAUGACUAGCCAGGGCUCCAGAGGGAGACCCCAUCUCCAAACAACAGAAGGAAAAAAAAAGACUGAGAUGGCAGGCAGCACCACCUGGGAAUGAAGAAAUACAGACGGAGGGGAGCCCCAGAGACCGUGUCUGAUGAGUGUUCUACCAUUGUGGGCAACUGGAACUCGGCCCCCAGCCCUCUAGAGACCAUAUGCACUUCACAACAAGCCAGCUGAGGCCAGGAAGCUGGGGUGUUUAUUCCUGAGGCCUCUCUCAGGACUUGGGGCUUCCCUGGGGUGUUGAAUCCCACCCCUUCUAACCCUCCCCUUUUAGGGGCAGAUCAUACUCCCACAGCCAAAGAGAGGCCCCAAGAGUCUGAAGAUCACGUGUACAACUCUUAAUUUGUACGUUUGAAACAAAAAAAUGACAACAUAAAGGUUUCCAGAAUGAAAGUAUAAUUAGGGCACUUUUUAAAAGAAAGAGAAAUGAACCAGACGGUAGUACAUACUACACAAGUUUAAUCCAGCCCUCAGGAGGCCGAGGCAGGAGAAUGAUGAGUUUGAAGCCACCCUGGGCUAUGUGGUGGGAUCCUGCGUAGUGAAAGCCAGAAAUGGUAAUUUUCAUUUAUGUGAGCCUCCAAACCAGACAAGUGAAAUAGUCCUUGUGGGGGAAGCAUGUUGGGACAGUCUGAGUAGGAAAAGCCAGCGAGGCGUCCCUGAGUGAGAGCAGGCUCUCAGAGGAACAGUGGGGAGCAGGGAGCCUCUGACUGCUGGCCUUGUCUGAUUUCUGUUAUUUCUGUUUGUUUGUCCGCACUCUCACCCCAAGACAAGCUCUCACUACAUAGCCCAGGCUGGCCGUGAACUCGUGGUGAUCCUCCUGUCUCAACCACACCUGACUGGAUCUUGUUUCUUCACCUGGCUGUGAUUCACAGGAUGUCCUUCACCCGGGGUCGAAUUCAGCGGUGCCCUAGGUCCCUUCCCCUUAGUACAUGGUUACAGUGUCCGGUCAACAGGAGCAUGAUGGGGGCCUGGGCCACAAGGAAAAGUGGCUCCCGCAGGACCCAGAAUGAGGCUGAAGGGUUUCACUGGAGCAGCACCUCUGAGAUCGGGACCCGGGAAGGACAUGGCACAGGCAAGAUGACCUGCCUCAUCGAGAGAGCACUGUGCCUCGGCCUCCCCGCUCUCCAUAAGCCUACAUCUUGGUUUCACUGAGUUUUGUUUUUGAUAUUUUAAGGUGUGAUUUCGCUGUAGAGUCCACGCUGGCCUCAAACUCACAGCGAUCCCCCGCCUCAGCCCCCUGGGUGCUGGGACCAGAGGAGUGUGCCCUAUACCCAGCGAGCCUAUGGCUUGACAGGGUCUUUCUGCGCAGUGCAGGCUGCCUUUGAACUCAGAGUGACCCUCCUGCAUCAGCCUCCAGAGUAUGUAUUGACUGACUGGUUGGUGUGAGUGGAAGUCUCAGGAACCUGUGUUACAGCACGAGCUGCAGCAAGGAGCUCAGAAGCAGCAGUGCGGGUGGAGCUGCCUGCCUGGGCCUAGCCAGAAACGAGCCCUGCAUUUGAGAGAAGGGAAGCCAUAGGUCACAAGCACAGACUCGCCUGUGUCACUGAUGCCACCUCGGGGGACCAUGGCCUUAGACUGGAAAAGAGAUGGAAACGCCGCAGUGUGACAUGGAGCACGGGGAGGUCGCCGUGCGUGCGUGCCUGCGUGCGGGAUUCACCUUCAGACUCGGGGAUGCCCAGGCGCCCGCCACAGACGCAACCAAGAAGGGCACACGUCCUUCCACCACCGCAGAUUUCAGCACCCAGAGCAGCAGCCGUGCGCUUCUCUUUCCUCGUCUUUAUUCACUUCUCGCAGUGAGGAAAGCUAAGCAGCCGAGUGCAGUCCAGUGCGGUGGGCAUGCCUGUCAGCCCAGCACUCAGGAGGCCGAGGCAGGAGCAGCACUGGGUUUGAGGCCACCUGGCCAUAGAGAGACCCUGUUUCAACAGAAAAAAAAAAAAAAAUACACUUCCCAAAAGGGGCUGUAACCUGUGGGCAGCCAGCCUGGGGCGAGCUCGUGGUAGGACAUGCUUAGCAUGUGUGAGGGCCCAGGUUCCGUGCCCAGCACCAGACCAGGAGCAAAAGGAAGUUAGGGUAAGGUAUAGCCUUAGUAUACGCAGUUAGAAUUUUUUUUAAGUUUUUUAUUUAAAGUAAACCUAGCCAGAUGUGAUGGGGCACACCUGAAAUCCUGGCACUCAGGAGGCUGGAGCAGGAGGAACUGUGAGGUCAAGAUGCCUGGGCUGCAUAGUGAGUUCAAGCACAGCCAGAACUACAAAGUAAAACCCUGACUCAAAAAAAAUAAAGAAAAGAUGACCUUACUCAUGCAGUUACAAUGAAGCAGUAGCGCUCUGCUGGGUCACUGUGGCCCAUUUAUCACUUGGCUUGUUUAUUUUUUAAUAGAUGUUUUGCUACUCAAGGACGUGAUCAACAGUCGCCGCCGCACCUCUGCAAACCUGUUUGCUCUGAUCCGCAGAGAUGGCUGUGCUUACCUCACUGAGUGCCUGCGGUACAACCGUGAGGUUUUGCAUCAUUACCUGGCGCCACAUAGUGAAUUGUUUACUGGAUUAAAAAAAAACCUCAGUCUUGAAAGUAGCCUAUAUGACUUUGGACCGAUGAACUGAGAAAACGUGAUAUUCCCGUGCAGUGGAGUACUGUCUGCCAUUAAGAAACUUGAGUCAUGGCGGGGAUCCUUUUGCUUUGUUUUUUGUCCUUGUGAGACAGGGUCUCGCUCUGCAGUUCGGGCUGGCCUUGAGCUCAUUUUGUAACCCAGGCUAGCCUGGAACUUGCAUCAAUCCUCCUCCCUCAGCCUCCCGAGUGCUGAAAUCGUAGGCCUGUGCCACCACACCCUGCAAACUUGAGUUGUUUGUAUGGGUUCACCUCAAGAGACCAUGAUGUUGAGUGCAGCAAAUCAGACACACAAGUUUACGGAUCACAUGGUUUCUUUGAUGUGAGUGGCCCAUGAAGAACCAAAUAAAAGAGAGGUAAUAGUAGGGAGGAGACAAGGUUUUGGGUUUUUGUUACUGUUGUUUUGUUUGUUUGGUAACAGGGAUUUAACUCAAGACCUUGUGCUUGCCAGGCAGGCACUUGGUCACUGAGCUAAAUCUCUGGCAGAUACGGGUUUUGGGGAAUGGGAAGGGGACCAAGAGUCAGAGGGAGGGGGAAGGAGGAGAGGGAAAAGGACGAGAAACUAAAGACGUGUCGCAGACCUGUCGUGCGACAUGCACCAAAUCAUCUGUAGAAUUACAUGCAUGUGGAUCAUGAUGAAUAGAAUCAUCAGUACACACAAACACGUACUGAUAAAAGUGUAACAAAAUUCCAGUAUUCAGAAUCACUGAAAAGGUUUGGAGAGUGCCUCCACCGCAUCCCCAAAUCCCAGCAGCUGCCUGAGGCUGGGGUUUCCACCCCCACCCACGUCCGCCGGCACACCUGCUUCAGUCCCGACCAGCCUGGGCCAGCACCUCCCUCCAAGCCUGGGCCCUGCAUUUCACUUGGCUGCCUCUCUUCCGCGCUUCCCUCCUGGAAUAGUGCCUAAAACAGUUCCUCCAAAACUGGGUACUUAGAGCAGAGGACUCUGGCUUAAGUGCCUUUUACAUUGUUGCAAAUCCUCUGCUUGGCCUCCUCUUUGCUUCCAUCCAGGUGCCAGGGCUGCAUAGCUGCAUUUCUGUCUCUAACGUGAAUAGCCCGUACAUCAUAAGGUUACAGUGGAUUUGCAUUGACUAACUUCCGCCUAGGUCUUCCUGCACCUGUGUUCUCUUAGUGAAAAAUGGUCACCUAACCACAUCCUGCUUCAGAUUAUGUAGCAUCAUGAGACAGCUUCAAACUCAAGUUGUUUCAGUGCUGUGUGUGUCAGCAACCUUGAUAACUUCCCAAAUUACAGUGUUACCAGAGAACUAACUUUAAGAUAUUUUUAGUUAUCCUUUGCUUGUGUAUUUAUUUACUUAUUUGAAGGGAAUAAAAUGGAACAAAAUAGAACAAUAUUGAAUUUUGGAACACAACAAAACAGUAUUGAAAAUCAAAAACAAGACAGCAGGAAACCCCCCAUAGUUGCCGUGUGGUAUAUUUUUAUCCUCUAAACAUGCUCAGACUACUGGCUUUAGGUCUACGGAGUCAAUCAGUUGAUACAAGCAUUGAGUUGUUUUUGUACCUCAGUUGCCAUCAUCCCAGCCUGUGUUCCUUCGGAUCAGCCGCUUGCCUGGGAGUUGGGGGAGCUCUUGUCUCCCAGCUGCUACUGGCUGACUCAUGGGAAAGGCAGGCUCCCUUCCUGUUUUUUUUCCAGCGUGCAGGGUUUCUGGCACACAGGAAAAGCAGGCUGACUUCUUCCUUGACUUGAUUUAUAAGCAGAGCCCUUUCUGGCCUUUGAUUCCAAUGAGUUGUAUCUUAUUUUCGUGGUGCUUGGGGACUGAACUCUGAGCCUUCACAGUGAGGUCCAUCCCUGGCCUUUUAAACUUUCGUUUUUUUCUACAAGAUGUCACUACUUUGCCCAAGCUAGGCUUAAAUUUGGAUCCCUGGCUUCAGUAUCCCAGAGUGCUGGGGUUACAGGAAUGCAGCGCCACUCUGGCCCCUGGCUCCUGAUGAGUUGCAGUUAGCCAGUCCAUUUAUUUCCUGAUUUCUUUCUUUUUUGGGGUGAAAGGUUCUGGCUGUGUAGGCAAGGCCAGCCUCCAGUGCUUGGCAAUCCUGCCUCAGCCUCCCAAGUGUGGGAUUAUACCCAACACUUUUAACAAUUAAGUAGUCAAAAUAAAGGUUUUUGCUCUGCCAAAAUCACCACAUCUAAAUGGAUGCACCUUGAGACCACACUGUUAAGCAAACUGAAUUGGACAUGCUCAUGUAAAUACCCCUUGUCUCUGGUGCGAGAAACCAAAAAUGUAAAUAAGGACCAAAAUGUAUACUAGAUAUUGGGAAAUAGAAGAAAAUGUUCAAGGGAAAGGUGCACUCGAAAGAAGGGACAAGAGAAAGAGGCAGAAGGAUCGUGGAGGGUUCAAGGCCGGCCUGGACUGCCCAGAUCAAAGCUUGUCUGAGCUACAAAGAACCAAACAGGAAAACCAAGACGGCCGUCCUGAUAGGGUGCUCUCUACCCUAGAGGAGGCCACGCCCCACUCGGGAGCCAUCUGUGCAGUGUCCUGAGCCAGGGCGCUGCCUGGCUGUGCUCCACAGGUGCCUGACAGCUGAGGCCCAGCGGAUGUUCUAAGAGCCCCACGGGUCUGAGUCAGCAGAUUCCGUUCCGGCCGCCAGCCUCAGUGUCUGAUAGAAUCCCUUUUUGUGCUUGCUUGGUUGGUUGAAGACAGAAUCUUACCACGUCGUUCAGGCUGGUCUUGAACUCAAGAGGUAGCACCGACUGGCCUCUGACUUGGAGCAGUCCUGCCUCAGCCUCCCAAGUGUUGGAAUUACACAUGUGCACCACACAUCUGGCUUCUGGCUGAUAGAAACCCAGCUCCAGUCUCAACAAUCCCGUUCCAAAGUUGAGCUGAAUGAACAGGUUGGGUGGAGACGGGAGGCCCACCUGCCUUGUGGCUGCUCCAGGGUAGCACGUGUACAUAGCAUGUACAUAGCAUGCCUGGGUUCCAAUCCCCAGGAACCCCCUCCGGGGAAACCUGUAAAUUCUACUAAGCAUGAUUCUGUUUGCAAGGAAAAUGUGAACGUAUGGCAAGUGCGUGCGCAACGCUGGGGCUGGACACCACAGCCUUAGGUGGCAGGAGGGACUCUACACCACCGCGCUACUUCCCAUGCCUCUCCAGAAAUUAGGGUGUGGCAGAGCCAGCUCCUUACAGACCCCAGGACGCAGGCGCGAAUGAUGCCUAAGCCCCGCCCCCCAAGGAUUUCUGGCGAAAACCUGAGCAGGCUCUGCAUAGGCUGCUGGAGUCCAAAGACGUCGGCGGAGCGGGGACCCGGAAAGAGUGCACGCUGGGCCUGAGCCUCCUGCGCUGCCGCACGAGGGUCACCCUCACGCCGAAGGGUGUGCUGCUUUUCCUACUUUUACUUCGCCCCAAGCUCACUCUGCAAAGCCUGUUUCCUUUUCUACCUUUAAUAAAAUUUUGCUACUCCUCGCUCUAA